rnacentral:rRNA from 1 species
CCUACGGGAGGCAGCAGUGGGGAAUUUUGGACAAUGGGGGCAACCCUGAUCCAGCAAUGCCGCGUGAGUGAAGAAGGCCUUCGGGUUGUAAAGCUCUUUUGUCAGGGAAGAAACGGCGGAGACUAAUACUUUCUGCUAAUGACGGUACCUGAAGAAUAAGCACCGGCUAACUACGUGCCAGCAGCCGCGGUAAUACGUAGGGUGCAAGCGUUAAUCGGAAUUACUGGGCGUAAAGCGUGCGCAGGCGGUUGUGCAAGACCGAUGUGAAAUCCCCGGGCUUAACCUGGGAAUGGCAUUGGUGACUGUACGGCUAGAGUGUGUCAGAGGGGGGUAGAAUUCCACGUGUAGCAGUGAAAUGCGUAGAGAUGUGGAGGAAUACCGAUGGCGAAGGCAGCCCCCUGGGAUAACACUGACGCUCAUGCACGAAAGCGUGGGGAGCAAACAGGAUUAGAUACCCUGGUAGUCCACGCCCUAAACGAUGUCUACUAGUUGUCGGGUCUUCAUUGACUUGGUAACGCAGCUACGCGUGAGUAGACCGCCGUCGGGAGGUACGGUCGCGAGAAGUUAAAACGUUAAAGUUAAGAAGUUAGUACGGACGUGAGACGUAGACCGACGGACGACGACGAGGGAGGAGG